AUUGAACGCUGGCGGCGUGCUUUACACAUGCAAGUCGAACGGUAACAGGGUGCUUGCACCGCUGACGAGUGGCGAACGGGUGAGUAAUACAUCGGAAUGUACCCAGUAAUGGGGGAUAACGCUUCGAAAGGAGUGCUAAUACCGCAUACGCCCUGAGGGGGAAAGUGGGGGACCGCAAGGCCUCACGUUAUUGGAGCAGCCGAUGGCUGAUUAGCUAGUUGGUGAGGUGAAGGCUCACCAAGGCGACGAUCAGUAGCGGGUCUUAGAGGACGAGCCGCCACACUGGAACUGAGACACGGUCCAGACUCCUACGGGAGGCAGCAGUGGGGAAUCUUGGACAAUGGGCGAAAGCCUGAUCCAGCAAUGCCGCGUGCGUGAAGAAGGCCUUCGGGUUGUAAAGCGCUUUUGUCUGGGAGCAAAUCCUGGCCUCUAAUACAGGUCGGGGAUGAGAGUACCAGAAGAACAAGGACCGGCUAACUACGUGCCAGCCGCCGCCGUAA
rnacentral:rRNA from 1 species